rnacentral:tRNA from 1 species
AUUUAUAUAAUAUAAACUUGUAUAUUUAACUUCCAAUUAAAAAGUCUGAAAUAAAUCAGUAUAAAUA